UUCCGGUUGAUCCUGCCGGAGGCUACCGCUAUUGGAGUUCGAUUAAGCCAUGCGAGUCGCGAGUCUUAGGGACUCGGCGUACCGCUCAGUAACACGUGGGUAACCUGCCCUAUGCUGGGGGAUAACCUCGGGAAACUGAGAAUAAUACCCCAUAGUUCACCACGCCUGGAACGGUGGGUGGACCAAAGCUCCGGCGGCAUAGGAUGGGCCUGCGGCGUAUCAGGUUGUAGGGGGUGUAAUGUACCCUCUAGCCCUCUACGCGUACGGGUGUUGAGAGACAUCGCCCGGAGAUGGAUUCUGAGACACGAAUCCAGACCCUACGGGGUGCAGCAGGCGCGAAAACUUGGCAAUGCGAGAAAUCGUGACCAGGGAACUCCAAGUGCAUCGGGUAAGACCGAUGCUUUUCUUGACUCUUCAAAGGUCUUGGAAUAAGGGGUGGGUAAGGACGGUGCCAGCCGCCGCGGUAAUACCGGCGCCCCAAGUGGUAGUCGCUUUUAUUGGGCCUAAAACGUCCGUAGCCGGUCUGGUACAUUCGUGGGUAAAUCAACCAGCUCAACUGGUUGAAUUCUGCGAGCACGGCCAGACUUGGGACCGGGAGAGGUGUGGGGUACUCUCAGGGUAGGGGUAAAAUCCUGUCAUCCUGAGAGGACCACCUGUUGCGAAGGCGCCACACUAGAACGGAUCCGACGGUCAGGGACGAAGCCUAGGGGCACGAACCGGAUUAGAUACCCGGGUAGUCCUAGGUGUAAACGCUGUGGACUUGAUGUUGGGGGCGCUCCGAGCGCACUCAGUGUCGAAGCGAAGGUGAUAAGUCCACUGCCUGGGGAGUACGGUCGCAAGGCUGAACUUAAAGGAAUUGGCGGGGGAGCACCGCAACCUGAGGAUUGUGCGGUUUAAUUGGAGUCAACGCCGGA
rnacentral:rRNA from 1 species